GUGGGGAAUAUUGGACAAUGGGCGCAAGCCUGAUCCAGCCAUGCCGCGUGAGUGAUGAAGGCCCUAGGGUUGUAAAGCUCUUUCACCGGAGAAGAUAAUGACGGUAUCCGGAGAAGAAGCCCCGGCUAACUUCGUGCCAGCAGCCGCGGUAAUACGAAGGGGGCUAGCGUUGUUCGGAAUUACUGGGCGUAAAGCGCACGUAGGCGGACAUUUAAGUCAGGGGUGAAAUCCCGGAGCUCAACUCCGGAACUGCCUUUGAUACUGGGUGUCUGGAGUAUGGAAGAGGUGAGUGGAAUUCCGAGUGUAGAGGUGAAAUUCGUAGAUAUUCGGAGGAACACCAGUGGCGAAGGCGGCUCACUGGUCCAUUACUGACGCUGAGGUGCGAAAGCGUGGGGAGCAAACAGGAUUAGAAACCCCUGUAGUCC
rnacentral:rRNA from 1 species